GACGAACGCUGGCGGCGUGCCUAAUACAUGCAAGUCGAGCGAAGUUUUUCUGGUGCUUGCACUAGAAAAACUUAGCGGCGAACGGGUGAGUAACACGUAAAGAACCUGCCUCAUAGACUGGGACAACUAUUGGAAACGAUAGCUAAUACCGGAUAACAGUAUUUCUCGCAUGAGAGAUAUUUAAAAGUUGGUUAUGCUAACACUAUGAGAUGGCUUUGCGGUGCAUUAGCUAGUUGGUGGGGUAAAGGCCUACCAAGGCGACGAUGCAUAGCCGACCUGAGAGGGUGAUCGGCCACACUGGGACUGAGACACGGCCCAGACUCCUACGGGAGGCAGCAGUAGGGAAUCUUCCGCAAUGGGCGAAAGCCUGACGGAGCAACGCCGCGUGAGUGAAGAAGGAUUUCGGUUCGUAAAGCUCUGUUGUUAGGGAAGAAUGGAUAUGUAGUAACUAUACAUAUAAGAGACGGUACCUAACCAGAAAGCCACGGCUAACUACGUGCCAGCAGCCGCGGUAAUACGUAGGUGGCAAGCGUUGUCCGGAAUUAUUGGGCGUAAAGCGCGCGCAGGUGGUUUAAUAAGUCUGAUGUGAAAGCCCACGGCUCAACCGUGGAGGGUCAUUGGAAACUGUUAAACUUGAGUGCAGGAGAGAAAAGUGGAAUUCCUAGUGUAGCGGUGAAAUGCGUAGAGAUUAGGAGGAACACCAGUGGCGAAGGCGGCUUUUUGGCCUGUAACUGACACUGAGGCGCGAAAGCGUGGGGAGCAAACAGG
rnacentral:rRNA from 1 species